GACGAACGCUGGCGGCGUGCUUAACACAUGCAAGUCGUACGGUAAGGCCCUUUCGGGGGUUCUCGGGUGUUGAACGGGGGCGUAACACGUGAGUAUCCUGCACCCACCUUUGGGAUAACGCUAGGUAACUGGAGCCAAUACUGGUUACGUGCCACUGCUGCAUGGGGGGGGUUGGAAAGCUAAGGAGGUUGUUGAUGGACUCGUUGCGUAUCAGCUUGUUGGGGGGGCAGUGGCCUACCAAAGCGGCGUCGGGUAGCCGGCCUGGGAGGGUGACCGGCGAGACUGGGACUGAGAGACGGCACAGACUCCGACGGGAGGCAGCAGGGGGGAAGAUUGCACAAGGGGCGCAAGCCUGAUGCAGCAACGCCGCGUGCGGGAGGACGGCCUUCGGGUUGAAAACCGCUUUCAGCAGGGACGAAGCUUAUUGUGACGGUACCUACAGAAGAAGCACCGGCUAACUACGUG
rnacentral:rRNA from 1 species